GACGAACGCUGGCGGCGUGCUUAACACAUGCAAGUCGAACGGAAAGGCCCUGCUUUUGUGGGGUGCUCGAGUGGCGAACGGGUGAGUAACACGUGAGUAACCUGCCCUUGACUUUGGGAUAACUUCAGGAAACUGGGGCUAAUACCGGAUAGGAGCUCCUGCUGCAUGGUGGGGGUUGGAAAGUUUCGGCGGUUGGGGAUGGACUCGCGGCUUAUCAGCUUGUUGGUGGGGUAGUGGCUUACCAAGGCUUUGACGGGUAGCCGGCCUGAGAGGGUGACCGGCCACAUUGGGACUGAGAUACGGCCCAGACUCCUACGGGAGGCAGCAGUGGGGAAUAUUGCACAAUGGGCGGAAGCCUGAUGCAGCAACGCCGCGUGCGGGAUGACGGCCUUCGGGUUGUAAACCGCUUUCGCCUGUGACGAAGCGUGAGUGACGGUAAUGGGUAAAGAAGCACCGGCUAACUACGUGCCAGCAGCCGCGGUGAUACGUAGGGUGCGAGCGUUGUCCGGAUUUAUUGGGCGUAAAGGGCUCGUAGGUGGUUGAUCGCGUCGGAAGUGUAAUCUUGGGGCUUAACCCUGAGCGUGCUUUCGAUACGGGUUGACUUGAGGAAGGUAGGGGAGAGUGGAAUUCCUGGUGGAGCGGUGGAAUGCGCAGAUAUCAGGAGGAACACCAGUGGCGAAGGCGGUUCUCUGGGCCUUUCCUGACGCUGAGGAGCGAAAGCGUGGGGAGCGAACAGGCUUAGAUACCCUGGUAGUCCACGCUGUAAACGGUGGGUACUAGGUGUGGGGUCCAUUCCACGGGUUCCGUGCCGUAGCUAACGCUUUAAGUACCCCGCCUGGGGAGUACGGCCGCAAGGCUAAAACUCAAAGGAAUUGACGGGGCCCCGCACAAGCGGCGGAGCAUGCGGAUUAAUUCGAUGCAACGCGUAGAACCUUACCUGGGUUUGACAUGGAUCGGGAGUGCUCAGAGAUGGGUGUGCCUCUUUUGGGGUCGGUUCACAGGUGGUGCAUGCCUGUCGUCAGCUCGUGUCGUGAGAUGUUGGGUUAAGUCCCGCAACGAGCGCAACCCUUGUUCACUGUUGCCAGCACGUUAUGGUGGGGACUCAGUGGAGACCGCCGGGGUCAACUCGGAGGAAGGUGGGGAUGACGUCAAGUCCUCAUGCCCCUUAUGUCCAGGGCUUCACGCAUGCUACAAUGGCUGGUACAGAGAGUGGCGAGCCUGUGAGGGUGAGCGAAUCUCGGAAAGCCGGUCUCAGUUCGGAUUGGGGUCUGCAACUCGACCUCAUGAAGUCGGAGUCGCUAGUAAUCGCAAAUCAGCAACGCUGCGGUGAAUACGUUCCCGGGGC
rnacentral:rRNA from 1 species